AGCUGCAGGCAACGAUAGCACAAUCAAUACCGAGGCAGAGGUGAGGCUUGACUUCAACAGCUCUGUGCCACUGGCACAACUUCCGACUCCUGAGCAGGUGGCACAGACCUUGGUGGACGCCAUCCUCAAUUCCAACAGUACCCUCAAUGUCAGCAUUCUACCGGACUCCAUCCAAGUACUUGGAUCUACGUUGGCUGGAGCAAGGACACCUGCUGGAUCAACAACAAGUGUUCCCUUUACUACUGAGGCUCCUCCACCAUCCGUGACCUUGCGAGCAACACUGGAAGAAACGUUUGUGGCAGGAUUGGCAAACAGAAGCAGUGAAGAAUUCCGGAGCCUUGAGGAAACAGUCAUACGAUUGUGGGACGACAUCUACAUGGCUCGACUUGGCUCCCUGUUCAUCGGCACUGCCGUCAUCGUGUUCAGGCCAGCUGCAGGCAACGAUAGCACAAUCAAUACCGAGGCAGAGGUGAGGCUUGACUUCAACAGCUCUGUGCCACUGGCACAACUUCCGACUCCUGAGCAGGUGGCACAGACCUUGGUGGACGCCAUCCUCAAUUCCAACAGUACCCUCAAUGUCAGCAUUCUACCGGACUCCAUCCAAGUACUUGGUGAGUAAAGUGUAGCUACACACUUGUCAUGAGUUGGUCUUCAAUCCGGAACUACAUGGUACUUCAUGCAUGGUCCAUCUGCCGGUGUCUGUGUCAAGAUUUUGCCCUUCCGUUGCUCGUUUUAAGCACAA